rnacentral:rRNA from 1 species
CCUACGGGUGGCAGCAGUGGGGAAUAUUGGGCAAUGGACGCAACCCUGACCCAGCAACGCCGCGUGAAUGAUGAAGGCUUUCGGAUUGUAAACUUCUUUUAUGGGGGAUGAACACAAUGACGGUACCCCAGGAGUAAGCCACGGCUAACUACGUGCCAGCAGCCGCGGUAAUACGUAGGUGGCAAGCGUUAUCCGGAAUGACUGGGCGUAAAGGGUGUGUAGGUGGUUUAGUAAGUUGGCGGUGUAAUUCCGGGGCUCAACCUCGGCGCUACCGCAGAAACUAUUAUACUAGAGUGCAGGAGAGGUAAGUGGAAGUCCUGGUGUAGCGGUGGAAUGCGUAGAUAUUAGGAGGAACAUCAGGUGCGAAGGCGACUUACUGGACUGUAACUGACACGGAGGCGCGAAAGCGUGGGGAGCAAACAGGAUUAGAUACCCGAGUAGUC